AUAGGGAGUCAUUAUAUAGAAC
rnacentral:piRNA from 1 species